UCGAGGGGCAUCACAGUUUCGCAGCAAUGCGGGAUGGGUGGCGACCGGCAAACGGGUGCGGAACACGUACACAACCUUCCGGUGAGAGGGGGAUAGCCCAGAGAAAUUUGGAUUAAUACCCCAUACUAUAGUGAUCAGGCAUCUGGUUAUUAUCAAAGGCUUCGGCCGCUUAUUGAUGGGUGUGCGUCUGAUUAGGUAGUUGGUGGGGUAGAGGCCCACCAAGCCUGCGAUCAGUAGCUGAUGUGAGAGCAUGAUCAGCCACACGGGCACUGAGACACGGGCCCGACUCCUACGGGAGGCAGCAGUAAGGAAUAUUGGACAAUGGACGCAAGUCUGAUCCAGCCAUGCCGCGUGAAGGAUGAAUGCCCUCUGGGUUGUAAACUUCUUUUAUAGGGGAAGAAAGUUAUCUUUUUUAGGAUAUUUGACGGUACCCUGUGAAUAAGCACCGGCUAACUCCGUGCCAGCAGCCGCGGUAAUACGGAGGGUGCAAGCGUUAUCCGGAUUCACUGGGUUUAAAGGGUGCGUAGGCGGGCAGGUAAGUCAGUGGUGAAAUCCUGGAGCUUAACUCCAGAACUGCCAUUGAUACUAUCUGUCUUGAAUAUUGUGGAGGUAAGCGGAAUAUGUCAUGUAGCGGUGAAAUGCUUAGA
rnacentral:rRNA from 1 species